rnacentral:rRNA from 1 species
UACGAAGGGGGCUAGCGUUGCUCGGAAUCACUGGGCGUAAAGCGCACGUAGGCGGAUCUUUAAGUCAGGGGUGAAAUCCUGGAGCUCAACUCCAGAACUGCCUUUGAUACUGGGGAUCUCGAGUCCGGAAGAGGUGAGUGGAACUGCUAGUGUAGAGGUGAAAUUCGUAGAUAUUAGCAAGAACACCAGUGGCGAAGGCGGCUCACUGGCCCGGUACUGACGCUGAGGUACGAAAGUGUGGGGAGCAAACAGG